rnacentral:sRNA from 1 species
GAACUUGAUAAAUGUGCAAAAAAUGUAGA